CUCCAGCCGUCCCAUAUUAAGAUGUAUCUAAUAUUUGACAGUUUAUUUUCUUUAAUUUUUUUUAUGAUUAGUAUUUUUAUUGUUAGUAGAUGAUAAAUCAUAAAUAGUACUUUAUGCGCGACUUAUUUUUAAAAUGUUUCUUAAAUUUUUAAAAUAAAACAAACGGUCAAACGUUGGACAUGAAAACCCAUAAAUGAACUUAUU
rfam:Oryza sativa Japonica Group DNA, chromosome 9, cultivar: Nipponbare, complete sequence.